GGGAGUAACACAGAAAAACCUGUCCUCAAGAGGGAAACAACAAUUGGAAACAAUUGCUAAUAACUUGUAGGUCGUGGAACCAUGGUAAGAAUCACAAAGAGGUUUGCGUUUGAUUAUCUAGUAAGUGAAAUAGUAUCUUAUCAAAACAAUAAUCGGUAAUUGGUUCGAGAGGAUGAUCACUCAC
rnacentral:rRNA from 1 species